UGCCAGCCGCCGCGGUAAUACGUACCGGACAAACGUUAUUCGGAAUCACUGGGCUUAAAGAGUACGUAGGCUGCCUUGUAGGUGAGAUGUGAAAUCCCACGGCCUAACCGUGGAACUGCGUUUCAAACCACAAGGCUUGAGGGAGACAGGGGUGAGCGGAACUGAUGGUGGAGCGGUGAAAUGCGUUGAUAUCAUCAGGAACACCGGUGGCGAAGGCGGCUCACUGGGUCUCUUCUGACGCUGAGGUACGAAAGUGUGGGGAGCAAACAGGAUUAGAUA
rnacentral:rRNA from 1 species